rnacentral:rRNA from 1 species
AUGAGCCAUACAAUGAAGCUAUGGGAGAGAGUCAUUGAGCACCGCUUAAGAAGAAUGACAAGCGUGACCAAAAAUCAGUUUGGUUUCAUGCCUGGGAGGUCGACCAUGGAAGACAUUUUCUUGGUACGACAACUUAUGGAGAGAUAUAGGGAGCAUAAGAAGGACUUGCAUAUGGUGUUCAUUGACUUGGAGAAGGUCUAUGAUAAGAUACCGCGGAAUGUCAUGUGGUGGGCCUUGGAGAAACACAAAGUCCCAGCAAAGUACAUUACCCUCAUCAAGGACAUGUACAAUAAUGUUGUGACAAGUGUUCGAACAAGUGAUGUCGACACCGAUGACUUCCCGAUUAAGAUAGGACUGCAUCAGGGGUCAGCUUUGAGCCCUUAUCUUUUUGCAUUGGUGAUGGAUGAGGUCACAAGGGGUAUACAAGGAGAUAUCCCAUGGUGUAUGCUCUUUGCGGAUGAUGUGGUGCUAGUUGACGAUAGUCGGAUGGGGGUAAAUAGGAAGUUAGAGUUAUGGAGACAAACCUUGGAAUCGAAAGGGUUUAGGCUUAGUAGAACUAAAACCAAGUACAUGAUGUGCGGUUUCAGUACUACUAGCUGUGAGGAGGAGGAGGUUAGCCUUGAUGGCCAGGUGGUACCUCGGAAGGACACCUUUCGGUAUUUGGGGUCAAUGUUGCAGGAGGAUGGGGGUAUUGAUGAAGAUGUGAACCAUCGAAUCAAAGCCGGAUGGAUGAAGUGGCGCCAAGCUUCUGGCAUUCUCUGUGACAAGAGAGUGCCACAAAAGCUAAAAGGCAAGUUCUACAGGACGGCGGUUCGACCCGCAAUGUUGUAUGGCGCGGAGUGUUGGCCGACUAAAAGGCGACAUGUUCAACAGUUAGGUGUGGCGGAGAUGCGUAUGUUGAGAUGGAUGUGUGGCCACACGAGGAAGGAUCGAGUCCGGAAUGAUGAUAUAUGA